rnacentral:rRNA from 1 species
UGGGGAAUAUUGGACAAUGGGGGAAACCCUGAUCCAGCCAUGCCGCGUGUGUGAAGAAGGCCCUCGGGUUGUAAAGCACUUUCAUCGAGGAAGAACGCCUAACGGUUAAUACCCGCUAGGAAAGACAUCACUCGCAGAAGAAGCACCGGCUAACUCCGUGCCAGCAGCCGCGGUAAUACGGAGGGUGCAAGCGUUAAUCGGAAUUACUGGGCGUAAAGCGCGCGUAGGUGGCUUGAUAAGCCGGUUGUGAAAGCCCCGGGCUCAACCUGGGAACGGCAUCCGGAACUGUCAAGCUAGAGUGCAGGAGAGGAAGGUAGAAUUCCCGGUGUAGCGGUGAAAUGCGUAGAGAUCGGUAGGAAUACCAGUGGCGAAGGCGGCCUUCUGUACUGACACUGACACUGAGGUGCGAAAGCGUGGGUAGCAAACAGGAUUAGAUACCCCGGUAGUCCCUGAGCGGGCUGGCAAGGCGCAU